AUUCAGCUGACGAGUCUUAAAUAGGACGAAACACACGUCCUAGAU
rnacentral:hammerhead_ribozyme from 1 species